AUUGAACGCUGGCGGAAUGCUUUACACAUGCAAGUCGAACGGCAGCACGGGUGCUUGCACCUGGUGGCGAGUGACGAACGGGUGAGUAAUAUAUCGGAACGUAUCCAAUAAUGGGGGAUAACUAGCCGAAAGGUUAGCUAAUACCGCAUACGCCCUGAGGGGGAAAGCUGGGGAUCGUAAGACCUAGCGUUGAUGGAGCGGCCGAUAUCUGAUUAGCUAGUUGGUGGGGUAAGAGCCUACCAAGGCGACGAUCAGUAGCUGGUCUGAGAGGACGACCAGCCACACUGGAACUGAGACACGGUCCAGACUCCUACGGGAGGCAGCAGUGGGGAAUUUUGGACAAUGGGGGCAACCCUGAUCCAGCCAUUCCGCGUGAGUGAAGAAGGCCUUCGGGUUGUAAAGCUCUUUCGCAAGGGAAGAAAACUCGAUCUCUAAUAUAGGUUGAGGCUGACGGUACCUUGAUAAGAAGCACCGGCUAACUACGUGCCAGCAGCCGCCGCGG
rnacentral:rRNA from 1 species